UGGCUGGUGUUCCCAAAUGAUUCCACGUG
rnacentral:piRNA from 1 species